rnacentral:rRNA from 1 species
ACUCGAGUGGCGAACGGGUGAGUAACACGUGGGUGAUCUGCCCUGCACUUCGGGAUAAGCCUGGGAAACUGGGUCUAAUACCGGAUAGGAGCCAUUUUUAGUGUGAUGGUUGGAAAGUUUUUUCGAUGUAGGAUGAGCUCGCGGCCUAUCAGCUUGUUGGUGGGGUAAUGGCCUACCAAGGCGGCGACGGGUAGCCGGCCUGAGAGGGUGGACGGCCACAUUGGGACUGAGAUACGGCCCAG